CGCAUAAGGGUAUAAUUGUAUUUGUCAUAUAUUAAGAAACUGCCUAUCCUACAUUUACGCUUGUAAUUAUAGAAUUUUACUCUAUCCACCCACCCACCACAAAUUCAUUCAUUCAUUUUCACAAACCUAUACCAGUCGGCGGCGCAUCACCUCUAGAACUUCGGUGAAAGCAGUGCUCGACGAUGGUUGUUUAUCAGCGAAAUACUGAUAAUCGUGGCGGUUCGAACCGACGAACAUCUAAGAACUUUGAUUUUUAGGCUGCAUUUGGUGUAUGGAAGAAUUUGAAUCCGUGAGCAAGACAAAAUGACUGGUUUAGUGAAAGUUAUCAGGGUGAGAUGGGUGAUCGUCCGAGAAAGGGAUAUGCAAGUAGCUCCAGAACGAGUUGAACAAAUAUUCAGAGUGUUAAAGUAGAUAUUCGAUUACUUUUGUUCACUUAUUUAUAAUAUGCUCAUUUAUAAAAAAAUUGUAAUAUAUUAAUUUAAUUUAACUUAUUUUUCAGAACUUAUUGUAUGAUAUUCAUUAUUGAAUAAUAUUUAUUCAGAACAUAUUCAUGUUA